GCCUAUUUUACUGUGAUCUCCAGGUUAAAGUGACCUCCAGGUUAGCCUAUUUUACUGUGAUCUCCAGGUUAAAGUGACCUCCAGGUUAGCCUAUUUUACUGUGAUCUCCAGGUUAAAGUGACCUCCAGGUUAGCCUAUUUUACUGUGAUCUCCAGGUUAAAGUGACCUCCAGGUUAGCCUAUUUUACUGUGAUCUCCAGGUUAAAGUGACCUCCAGGUUAGCCUAUUUUACUGUGAUCUCCAGGUUAAAGUGACCUCCAGGUUAGCCUAUUU